rnacentral:ncRNA from 6 species
GGGUCCAGGGUUCAAGUCCCUGUUCGGGCGCCA